UUUCGUGCAAAAGCGAGAUCAUCAUCAUAAGACCAUGUGGAACUUCAAAUACAGAUCAACUAUAACUAACACCCCCUCUCCGGACUUCUAACCAAUUAGUAUUUGAUCCCUAUUUUUGGUUGGACGACCUCAGAGUAAACAAAACCUCUGAAAAAAGAACAUAUUUCUAUACCUAGACCUAUAACUCAAAGUGCCUAUGGCAAAAUGAUCCAAUAUAUUUGAUCACCGAACCAAGCUACCCCAGGGAUAACAGCGCAAUCCCCUCCUAGAGUCCCUAUAGACGAUGGGGUUUAUGACCUCAAUGUUGGAUCAGGACAUCCUGAUGGUGCAGCCGCUAUCAAGGGUUCAUUUGUUCAAUGAUCAACAGUCCUACAUGAUCUGAGUUCAGACCGGAGUAAUCCAGGUCAGUUUCUAUCUAUAACUGAGCCUUUUCUAGUACAAAAGGACCAAAAAGGCAAGGCCUAUAUCUCAAAACAAGCCUUCCCUUAUUAGUGAAAUCAACUUUAAUAAUAAGAAUAACCAAGCCCCCCAAAAAGGGCCAAGUUCGGGUGGCAGAGCCAGGGAUCAAUGCAAAAGGCGUAAACCUUUUACUUAGUGGUUCAACGC
rnacentral:ncRNA from 1 species